GAUGAACGCUGGCGGCGUGCCUAAUACAUGCAAGUCGAACGAAACUUCUUUAUCACCGAGUGCUUGCACUCACCGAUAAAGAGUUGAGUGGCGAACGGGUGAGUAACACGUGGGCAACCUGCCCAAAAGAGGGGGAUAACACUUGGAAACAGGUGCUAAUACCGCAUAACCAUAGUUACCGCAUGGUAACUAUGUAAAAGGUGGCUAUACUACCGCUUUUGGAUGGGCCCGCGGCGCAUUAGCUAGUUGGUAGGGUAAAGGCUUACCAAGGCAAUGAUGCGUAGCCGAAUUGAGAGGUUGAUCGGCCACAUUGGGACUGAGACACGGCCCAAACUCCUACGGGAGGCAGCAGUAGGGAAUCUUCCACAAUGGGCGAAAGCCUGAUGGAGCAACGCCGCGUGGGUGAAGAAGGUCUUCGGAUCGUAAAACCCUGUUGUUAGGGAAGAAAGUGCGUGGGAGUAACUGUUCACGUUUCGACGGUAUCUAACCAGAAAGCCACGGCUAACUACGUG
rnacentral:rRNA from 1 species